rnacentral:tRNA from 1 species
CCGUAGCUCAAUUGGAUAGAGCGUCUGACUACGAAUCAGGAGGUUGGGAGUUCGAAUCUUCCCGG